AAAACCACAUAACGAAAACUUAAUUUUAGGCUUGUAAAUAAACCAAACGUUCAUGAACUGUUCUGUCACACCCCAACCGAUGGCGGAAUCAUCGGGGCGCGGCACUAGGCGAAUCAGAUUGCUCAAGAGAAUCCAUAACAACUAAAUUGCGACAGUAUUUAAUGCGUUCAUUAUCCCAUACUAAUAAACAAUUACAAUCACAUAAGUUGUCACGAAUUUCAUGUUCUCGCAAACAAUACAAAUCCGACAACCUAGAUUUUAGGUGUGUUUCUAGACUUCCUAGCUUGAUUUGAUGUAGACUACCACUAAACCUGCAACAUACGUUAAAAACAACGUCAAUACAAAAGUAUUGGCGAGUAUACAAGUUUUGAUAGAGUAGCGUAAAUAGUUAAAAGUGCUGCGAAUUACCCAAUACAUAAACGAGAUACCUCAACAUACAUGCAUAUAAGACAGAUACUACCAGCUAAGUCUCUCGAGCUGCGAUUGCGAUUGCUAUUCAUCCUAACUAGACCCCGUCGGGUUCUAUAGUACUAUACUAGUUAAGGCGGGACCUCGCGAGAAUAAGUCCUAACACAUAUGUAACUAGCAUCACGUGUAAAUAUGCAUAACAUUUAUUCGUAAGUUAUAAACAGUUGAUUGAAUAAUUUGUUUUGAUAACUUUGUUUUGAUAGAAACGUAUGUUACACCCAAAAUGCGAUAAAAAGGGGUCAAGUAUACUCACAGUCGGUGUUCAGCAAGUAAACACAACUUGGUUGGAUUGAAGGGAGCGCGUCAGAGAUUAGCCUGAUUAUAGAUUGAGAACAGUACGUUAAACGGUGGCGGUGAACCAAGUGUCGGAUGGCAAUCCGAUCGGAUGGCCAGUCGAUCCGGUGAUUCGAUUGGAUUGUCACCUCGUUUGGCAAGGAUGCGUUUGUGUAUGAUGGUUUGCCUUUUGAAGUUUUCGUUGUAGCAUUUUGAAAACAGAGAAGUAUCCCUAUCCUUCAGGUUGUUCGAUCGAACGACGGCUCGAUCGGGUGGCGAUCCGGUUGGUAGGACACUUAGUGAGAACAAGUUCACAGCAGUUUGUCACUCGAUCGGAUAGCAAUCCGAUCGGGUGGCAAUCCGUUGGUCGCUGCUCAUGCAUUGAACAUGUUGAAAAUUGUUUAAGUGUUGAAGUAUCAAGCAUCACAUGAUCGGAUGGUCGUUCGAUCGGAUGGCAAUCCGAUCGGACUGCAAUUCGUUCGACGUUCAGUACCCUGAAAAGUUAAAAUAAUAGUUUAAGUGAGCGACCAAGUGCAAGCCGAUCGGUCGGCUGUCCGAUCGGGUGGCAAUCCGUCCCAACUGCCUGAUCGUCUUUGAUACCUGGCCGUUUUGGUAGUUUUGCGGUUUUCUCGAGACGGUAUAACGACGUGUCAAGCAAUAGAAACCCUAUCUAUUCCCAAGUGAUUCGAUCGGACCGGAACCACCCUAGUCCAGUCGGUCAACUGUUCGAGAUGGUGGUUCGUGUUUAACCCGAGGUCAGUUGUCUCUUCGAUAGAACGCAUAUCUGGAACCGACACAUUACUAAGAAGGGGUAUCAGAACGAGUUCCGAUUCUAUCGGUUUUGAGUGCAUUGAGUGUAAAAGAGUUGAAAGAAAGUUGGAAACCAUCUUUCAAUCCUUUUAUCCAUGAAUAUGUAUCUGAGUGAUUCUUGGUGGAAUGAGGCCAACACUUGAAGUUCAUAAGAACCCCAUGAUGACAUUAUCCUAGAACACCUUAAAUCCAUUGAUUUCAUGCUUAAAAGUUA
rnacentral:lncRNA from 1 species